GGUGCAGCAGCUGGACCCCAGCAAUGCCAUCGGCAUCGCCAACUUCGCUGAGCAGAUUGGCUGUGUGGAGUUGCACCAGCGUGCCCGGGAGUACAUCUACAUGCAUUUCGGGGAGAGUCUUGCUCUGUCGCCCAGGCUGGAGUGCAGUGGCGCAAUAUCGGCUCACUGCAACCUCUGCCUCCCGCCUCCCGGGUUCAAGCAAUUCUUCUGCUUCAGCCUCCCGAGUAGCUGGGACUAGAGGCGUGUGCCACCACACCCGGGUGGCCAAGCAAGAGGAGUUCUUCAACUUGUCCCACUGCCAACUGGUGACCCUCAUCAGCCGGGACGACCUGAACGUGCGCUGCGAGUCCGAGGUCUUCCACGCCUGCAUCAACUGGGUCAAGUACGACUGCGAACAGCGACGGUUCUACGUCCAGGCGCUGCUGCGGGCCGUGCGCUGCCACUCGUUGACGCCGAACUUCCUGCAGAUGCAGCUGCAGAAGUGCGAGAUCCUGCAGUCCGACUCCCGCUGCAAGGACUACCUGGUCAAGAUCUUCGAGGAGCUCACCCUGCACAAGCCCACACAGGUGAUGCCCU
rnacentral:sRNA from 1 species